rnacentral:rRNA from 1 species
UACGUAGGAGGCAAGCGUUGUCCGGAAUUACUGGGUGUAAAGCGCGUGUAGGCGGCAGGCCAAGUCUGUGGUGAAAUCGCUCGGCUCAACUGGGCGGGGUCCAUGGAAACUGGUCAGCUGGAGGACGGUAGAGGUGAGGUGGAAUUCCCGGUGUAGUGGUGAAAUGCGCAGAUAUCAAGGAGGAACACCGGUGGCGAAGGCGGAUCUCUGGGCCUUACCUGACGCUCAGGCGCGAAAGCUAGGGGAGCGAACUGG